UGUAUUGACCUUGAAAAAUAAAAAUAGCCGUUCAUCUUUAAGAAAAUAUAAAUAAUUUAAAAUUUAAUAAUUAGUUUCAAAAUUUUAAGUAUUUUUAAUUUCUUAUAAUAUAUAAUAUAUAAUAUUUAUAUCAGAAAAAUUAUUGAUAUUCAAGUUUUUUUUAAAAAAUAAAUAUCAUUUAUAUUCAACAAAAAAACCAAAAGUUGAAUAACAAAAACCAAAAUCUAAAAACCAAAAAAUAAAAUCUAAAAAACAAAAAACUAUAACUAAAAACUAU
rnacentral:lncRNA from 1 species